UCGGCUUAGAGUUUGAUCAUGGCUCAGGACGAACGCUGGCGGCAUGCCUAAUACAUGCAAGUCGAACGAGUGCUUGCACAGUGGCGAACUGGUGAGUAACACGUGGGAAAUCUGCCCAGAAGCAGGGGAUAACACAUGGAAACAGGUGCUAAUACCGUAUAACAACAAAUCCGCAUGGAUUUUGUUGAAAGGUGUUCGUAUCACUUCUGGAUGAUCCCGCGGCGUAUUAGUUAGUUGGUGGGGUAAAGGCUCACCAAGACGAUGAUACGUAGCCGACCUGAGAGGGUAAUCGGCCACAUUGGGACUGAGACACGGCCCAAACUCCUACGGGAGGCAGCAGUAGGGAAUCUUCCACAAUGGACGAAAGUCUGAUGGAGCAAUGCCGCGUGAGUGAAGAAGGGUUUCGGCUCGUAAAACUCUGUUGUUAAAGAAGAACACCUUUGAGGUAAUUCAAGGGUUGACGGUAUUUAACCAGAAAGCCACGGCUAACUACGUGCCAGCAGCCGCGGUAAUACGUAGGUGGCAAGCGUUGUCCGGAUUUAUUGGGCGUAAAGCGAGCGCAGCGGUUUUUUAAGUCUGAUGUGAAAGCCUUCGGCUUAACCGGAGAAGUGCAUCGGAAACUGGGAGACUUGAGUGCAGAAGAGACAGUGGAACUCCAUGUGUAGCGUGGAUGCGUAGAUAUAUGGAGACACCA
rnacentral:rRNA from 1 species